AAAGCUACCAAAAGUAUUCACAUCGUUCACCUUCUAACACUGAAAUCAUUGUCCUGUCAGUGUCUUGUCAGUAUCUUGUCAGUGUCCUGUCAGUGUCUUGUCAGUGUCCUUUCAGUGUCUUGUCAGUGUCCUGUCAGUGUCCUGUCAGUGUCUUGUCAGUAUCUUAUCAGUGUCCUGUUAGUGUCUUGUCAGUGUCCUGUCAGUGUCCUGUCAGUAUCUUGUCAGUGUCCUGUCAGUGUCUUGUCAGUGUCUUGUCAGUGUCCUGUCAGUGUCUUGUCAGUGUCCUGUCAGUGUCUUGUCAGUGUCCUGUCAGUGUCCUCUCAGUGUCCUGUCAGUGUCCUGUCAGUGUCUUGUCAGUGUCUUGUCAGUGUCCUGUCAGUGUCUUGUCAGUGUCCUGUCAGUGUCCUCUCAGUGUCCUGUCAGUGUCCUGUCAGUGUCCUGUCAGUGUCUUGUCAGUGUCCUCUCAGUGUCUUGUCAGUGUCUUGUCAGUGUUUUGUUAGUGUCCUGUCAGUGUCUUGUCAUUGUCCUGUCACUGUCUUGUCAGUGUCCUCUCAGUGUCCUGUCAGUAUCUUGUCAGUGUCCUGUCAGUAUCUUGUCAUUGUCCUGUCAGUGUCUUGUCAGUGUCCUGUCAGUAUCUUGUCAGUGUCCUGUCAGUAUCUUGUCAUUGUCCUGUCAGUGUCUUGUCAGUGUCCUGUCAGUAUCUUGUCAUUGUCCUGUCAGUGUCUUGUCAGUGUCCUGUCAGUGUCCUGUCAGUGUCUUGUCAGUGUCCUGUCAGUAUCUUGUCAUUGUCCUGUCAGUGUCUUGUCAGUGUCCUGUCAGUGUCUUGUCAGUGUCCUCUCAGUGUCUUGUCAGUGUUUUGUUAGUGUCCUCUCAGUGUCAUGUCAGUGUUUUGUUAGUGUCUUGUCAUUGUCUUGUCAUUUUCAGUGUCUAAUCGGUGUCUUGUCAUUGUCUUGUCAUUUUCAGUGUCUAAUCGGUGUCUUGUCAUUGUCUUGUCAGUGUCCUGUCAGUGUCCUGUCAGUGUCCUGUCAGUGUCUUGUCAGUGUCCUCUCAGUGUCAUGUCAGUGUUUUGUUAGUGUCUUGUCAUUGUCUUGUCAUUUUCAGUGUCUAAUCGGUGUCUUGUCAUUGUCUUGUCAGUGUCCUGUCAGUAUCAAGUCAUUGUCAGUUUCAUGCCAGUGUCCUUUCAGUGUCUUGUCAGUGUCCUGUCAUUGA
rnacentral:lncRNA from 1 species